UACGUAGGGUGCGAGCGUUGUCCGGAAUUACUGGGCGUAAAGAGUUCGUAGGCGGUUUGUCGCGUCGUUUGUGAAACCCGGAGCUCAACUCCGGGCCUGCAGUCGAUACGGGCAAACUGGAGUGUUGCAGGGGAGACUGGAAUUCCUGGUGUAGCGGUGAAAUGCGCAGAUAUCAGGAGGAACACCGGUGGCGAAGGCGGGUCUCUGGGCAACAACUGACGCUGAGGAGCGAAAGCGUGGGGAGCGAACAGG
rnacentral:rRNA from 1 species